GGCUGUGAAGAUGAUCUGGCUGCUCCAUCUGUCGCUGCAUUGAUUUCCUGGGUUGCUUUGACUGAUCUGGUUGGCUAGGCAGGCGUCCCCUUCCUCUCUCACUGCUCCACACGCAUCUCUCCUGAAGCUUAGGACUGGGUUGAAGAGGAGGACAAUCCUUACAGAGGAGGACAAUCCUUGGGUCAAGGAUGUUCAAGUAGCUGCACACCCCUGCUAGAACCUUCAAACAUAAUGGCAUUUUUCCAUGACCUUUUUGAAACCCCCCCUUAUAUAUAUUUGUAUAUGUAUAAAAAUAU
rnacentral:sRNA from 1 species